GAAGUACGACCUCGCGGAGACGUACGAGGGCAACGAGGAGAACCUCGGCGAGGAUUACAACGUCGAAGCCGUCGACGGCGAGCGGAGGCCGUUCAAGUGCUUCCUCGACACCGGUCUCGUGCGAACGAGCACGGGCGCGAGGGUGUUCGCCGCGCUCAAGGGCGCCGUCGACGGCGGCUUAGACAUUCCGCACAACGACAAGCGCUACGCGGGGUACGAUCUCCAGGACAAGUCUCUGGAUACCGACACCCUCGAGCGGUACAUCAAGGGCGGCGUCGUCGCGGAGUACGCGGAAGAGAUGCAGGAGGAGGUUCGUCGUCCGUAACGUCUUCCCGUUGGGCGUUUUCUUUUCUUUUCUUUUCUCUUCCUUCUCCCGUCGCGUUCGCGUUCGAUCUCGCGCUGACGCGAUCCCCUCCCCCCGCCGCCGCGAUCUCUCAGGAGCCCGAAAAGUUCGAGGCGCACUUUUCCAAGUAC
rnacentral:lncRNA from 1 species